rnacentral:rRNA from 1 species
AUUGAACGCUGGCGGCAUGCCUAACACAUGCAAGUCGAACGGCAGCACGGCAGUAGCAAUACUGUGGGUGGCGAGUGGCGGACGGGUGAGGAAUACGUCGGAAUCUGCCCAGUCGUGGGGGAUAACUAGCCGAAAGGUUAGCUAAUACCGCAUACGACCGAGAGGUGAAAGCGGGGGACCGCAAGGCCUCGCGCGAUUGGAUGAGCCGACGUCGGAUUAGCUAGUUGGUGGGGUAAAGGCCCACCAAGGCGACGAUCCGUAGCUGGUCUGAGAGGAUGAUCAGCCACACUGGAACUGAGACACGGUCCAGACUCCUACGGGAGGCAGCAGUGGGGAAUAUUGGACAAUGGGCGCAAGCCUGAUCCAGCAAUGCCGCGUGUGUGAAGAAGGUCCUCUGGAUUGUAAACCUCUUUUGGCAGGAAACAAACCUAGCGCUAUACGCGCAGCUGAGGGUACCUGCAGAAUAAGCACCGGCUAACUCCG